UACGGGGGGAGCAAGCGUUGUUCGGAUUUACUGGGCGUAAAGGGCGCGUAGGCGGUCAGCACAAGUCAGUUGUGAAAUCUCCGGGCUUAACUCGGAAAGGUCAACUGAUACUGUGCGACUAGAGUGCAGAAGGGGCAACUGGAAUUCUCGGUGUAGCGGUGAAAUGCGUAGAUAUUGGGAAGAACACCUGAGGCGAAGGCGGGUUGCUGGGCCGACACUGACGCUGAUGCGCGAAAGCCAGGGGAGCGAACGGG
rnacentral:rRNA from 1 species